AUUGACGCACAGAACAAAAAAAAGAGAGAGAAAGAGAGCCGUAGAGAUGUACGAAGAUGCCGGCUCGAUCUGCGUCAAAGUACAAUCCUUUUCUGUCUUUCUUUUUUUAAUUCUUGC
rnacentral:ribozyme from 11 species